AACUAAGUUUGUUAUUGGUAUGAGCUUUUGUGUGCAUGCACACUUCUUCAGAAGUGCAUGAAGAAGCGUGCAUGCACACGAAAGCUCAUACCAAUAACCAACUUAGUUGG